GAUGAACGCUGGCGGCGUGCCUAAUACAUGCAAGUCGAGCGAACGGACGAGAAGCUUGCUUCUCUGAUGUUAGCGGCGGACGGGUGAGUAACACGUGGAUGACCUACCUAUAAGACUGGGAUAACUUCGGGAAACCGUAGCUAAUACCGGAUAAUAUUUUGAACCGCAUGGUUCAAAAGUGAAAGACGGUCUUGCUGUCACUUAUAGAUGGAUCCGCGCUGCAUUAGCUAGUUGGUAAGGUAACGGCUUACCAAGGCAACGAUGCAUAGCCGACCUGAGAGGGUGAUCGGCCACACUGGAACUGAGACACGGUCCAGACUCCUACGGGAGGCAGCAGUAGGGAAUCUUCCGCAAUGGGCGAAAGCCUGACGGAGCAACGACGCGUGAGUGAUGAAGGUCUUCGGAUCGUAAAACUCUGUUAUUAGGGAAGAACAUAUGUGUAAGUAACUGUGCACAUCUUGACGGUACCUAAUCAGAAAGCCACGGCUAACUACGUG
rnacentral:rRNA from 1 species